UACGUAUGGGGCAAGCGUUAUCCGGAAUUAUUGGGCGUAAAGAGUGCGUAGGUGGUUUUUUAAGCGUGGGGUUUAAGGCUACGGCUUAACCGUAGUUCGCCCCAUGAACUGGGAGACUUGAGUGCAGGAGAGGAAAGCGGAAUUCCUAGUGUAGCGGUGAAAUGCGUAGAUAUUAGGAGGAACACCGGUGGCGAAGGCGGCUUUCUGGACUGUAACUGACACUGAGGCACGAAAGCGUGGGGAGCAAACA
rnacentral:rRNA from 1 species